AGUGAACGCUGGCGGUAGGCCUAACACAUGCAAGUCGAACGGCAGCACAGUAAGAGCUUGCUCUUACGGGUGGCGAGUGGCGGACGGGUGAGGAAUACAUCGGAAUCUACUUUUUCGUGGGGGAUAACGUAGGGAAACUUACGCUAAUACCGCAUACGACCUACGGGUGAAAGCAGGGGAUCUUCGGACCUUGCGCGAUUGAAUGAGCCGAUGUCGGAUUAGCUAGUUGGCGGGGUAAAGGCCCACCAAGGCGACGAUCCGUAGCUGGUCUGAGAGGAUGAUCAGCCACACUGGAACGGAGACACGGUCCAGACUCCUACGGGAGGCAGCAGUGGGGAAUAUUGGACAAUGGGCGCAAGCCUGAUCCAGCCAUACCGCGUGGGUGAAGAAGGCCUUCGGGUUGUAAAGCCCUUUUGUUGGGAAAGAAAAGCAGCAGGUUAAUACCCCGCUGUUCUGACGGUACCCAAAGAAUAAGCACCGGCUAGCUUCGUG
rnacentral:rRNA from 1 species